CCAGCUGGCAACAUGACAAACGAAGUCCAGAGAUCAGAAAACUUGCUGAGUUGGGACAGACAUGGUAUAAUUACGUACUUCCCCCUUCUUUGAACUCUGGAACUAGGUAUGCACAAAGGAAAGUUACCUUGAUAAGUGAGAAAAAGCAGGUUAUGGAGCAAGACCAAGACAAACGAGUAUGGAGUAUCGCCUGAGCAGACAACACUUUUGCCCUGCUGGAAGCCACUGUGAUGCUGGGUGGCACCACUGAACUCUUCUUACCAAGGACAUGGACAUGGUUAAUCUUCAGACCAGCUGGUGCCUAGAAGUGGAGGGUAAGUCACCAGCCCUGAGCAUGGAGGUAGCUACAGAAUCCUGGGUGCUGGACCUGCAGAAUUCAUGGAUAUGGGGUCAGGAGAGCCUCACUGCUGCUGCUAAGUAAGUACAUUCUGGAAAAAUGCUGGAACUGUGGCUCAUCCCUUAGGGAAUGAGCUGGUACUUAACAGGAUCUAUGGCAUCAGAAGUUCUGCAAUGAGGCUGGUUGACAGCAAAGCAAGGUGUUGCAAUAAGGCAAUGCUGAUAUUGAAAGACUUGACUGAGAAGGAGUCAGUUCAUCUUAUUAUUCAAGUAAUUUCUUGAGGAGUUAUCACAACCCUGACUGGCUUUUCUUGACCAACUUCCAUUCUUAUUCACAUCUCAGCUUACAUGUCAUUUCUCCAAAGAAGACUUUCCCAGCUCUAUAGACUAUGGGAUGCCCUGCUUUCUUGCAUUCAAAGAAUGGUGGAAUCACCUCAUACUUAAAUUUACUUUUCCUAAGGCUUGCUUUGCCAAAGAGGCUGGAAGUUUUGUGAGGUCAGAGGCUCCAUCUUGUCCGAUACUCUGACAUUCUUUUUUUUUUUAAUUUUUAUUUAUUUAUGAUAGUCACAGAGAGAGAGAGAGAGGC
rnacentral:lncRNA from 12 species